rnacentral:tRNA from 1 species
UAAGAUGGCUGAAUAAGUGGUGGAUUGUAGCUCCAUAGAUAAAGGUUAAAAUCCUUUUCUUAU